ensembl:lncRNA
GCCAUUAAAUUCGCUCCAUUGUCCUGAGCUCUGAGGCCCCUGAUUGGCCAGAAAGCAGUGAAAGCGCAAGAUGAGCAGCAUAAAUAAGGAGCACGCACACAGAAGUAAACAGAGACGUCGUCUGAACCUUUGCAAGGAACACCAGAACUUCCCACAAGAAGAAACAGACCUCGUCAUGGCUCUCUACGCAGAUCUCACUCUUCAGGACACCAUGAAGGAGCAACUGUUUAGGUGUAAACUUCACAUGCUGGAGAAGAAAUGCAGCACCGGAGUGGAGAAGCUGAAGGCUCUGAUUGCAGAACAUCUGCAGAAUGGUCUCCCUCUCGCAGACUUACUGGAGAAAACAAAGUCAUUGCUCACAUUAAGGAAAGCCCUACUGACACACAACGGCUACUCCAAAUAUUCAAGGGACAUUUUACGCCUGUUUCCCGAUGCAGAGGACGACGUGGCUCCGCUGUGCUUUUAGGAACAAAACACGAACUACAAAAAGUCAUCGAAACUGGAUUCAAACCACUGCAUUUUUAAUGGCAGUGGUGCAAGAUGGAUCUCUGUGUUAAAAAUCUACUGACUGUUAAAAAAUGCAUUAUUUGCAUUACGACAAGGAGACUCUCAAGGGCACCUACAGCACAUUUCAACCAUUUUACUGAGUAUUUCUUUUUUUUAAAGGAAACAUUUAUUUUAGCUCAUACGAUAUGAUUUCAGUCUAGCUUUAACAGGAGCCUGUGAAAGAUAACUGAAUUCAGGGUCAAAAGUGGUUGUUGACUGUGCAGAAGAUGUGUUUUGCUGCUAUUUGUGGGAUUUAUGUUUCUUGUGGUUGUCAGAUUUUUUAUGUGAAGGCCACAGAAGAAAAAUCCAGCCUCGAAACUAUGCAACAAUUAGUUGUUGUUUGUGUAAUUACUAUUUUUUUUCACCAGAAUUAUAGCGGUAUAAUUUUUGCAUUUUAUACCAACAGCACAGUUACUGCGAAAAUACUGAGUAGACUAACACUGUGUGAUUAUAUUUUUGCAUAUGUAUCUCGCUGCCUUGUUUCAAGGUAUAUUUGAUAAAAUCCCUUAAUACAAACCUUUCUUUUGAAAGGGGAUUCAUCUUUGUUUAUGCUGUGUAUGCAUAUUUUGUUUAUUCAUCGGUUUCGUUUUUAUUCAUCCAAAGUGGAUUUUGUUUUUAUGUUUUUUGCAUAUUUCAAGAAAAUAAAUAUCUGAAGAUCA